CUGUCAGUGAAAAUGUUCUUUGAUAAAGUAAAUGUUCUUUGCUCUCUUUCUUUAGGCUACAAUGAAAAUGUUAUGAUUAACUUAGUAGCCUAACUCGCAAUGUUUUUAUUCACAUUAACUUUCAAUGUUAAAUUCACAUUAAAUAUAAAGUCAGUCGUAUUAAAAAUAUGUUAUGGCAUGACACCCAUAAACAGACAGGUUUUUAUGCAUAGAUUAUAUUAUUAGGUUACUUUGACCAUCGCCCACUACACAAUCAGCAGUGUAAUAUUUGCAGUGUUAAAAGUUAUUAAUUCCCAAAGAGUUGAAUUAACAAUCUACAGUGUUAAACAGUACUGGUGUUCAGUGUUGUCACACGGUGUAAUAUUUAUGUAAUUUCACUUUUACACUUAAAGUGUAAAAACAAAACCCCGAACUGAUCUGAUCCGCCCCUCAAGCACCGCGGCCUCAAAGCGACGACGCCAUUUUAUCUUCAGGCGACCGACACGGUUUACAGUGUUAAGUUCGUGAGGUGCAGAGAUGCAAGGUUAGCCUGUGUGAAAGUUUCUAAUGCGGGCUCGAUUUUCUGAAAUAAGGAGUCACACAUUUGGGCGGUUUUCUACUCAGAGGAGAGAAUUCAUCAAAAGAUGUCUUAAUACAGAUUGUGAAGAAGCCAUCCAUUGUGCAGUACUGGUGUGGGAACAGAACCAUAAGGGGAAGAUUUUCAAGGUUGAAAGUAAUACAAAACAACACCACUGUUUCGUGAGAAAGCACAGAGAGAGUCUAUCCCAUAGGCUUUUGAAUACUGGUGUUUUUCCAUUUUAGUGUAAACUAAUUAAAUGUUGCAGAUUUGAUGUAACCAUUUUGAUGUAGUCAUUCUUGAACAAUGGUGGAUCUGUCCAAAUCCCACCAAUAAAAAUAGGCCAAGUGGGCUGGUAAUAAAUUGUAGCAAAACCAGACAAAUUUGGUUAGUAAAAAGGUAUAAAAAAGAUGUAUGGACAGAUAGAAUUAGAGGCAGUGGAUGAGGCGGCUGUCUUCUCGGCUUUGUUACUUUGUUUAAUAAAGUCUUAUUUUGGCAGCUGAAACUCUGCUUUUUGAGCUUCUCUGACUCCAUUGAAGAAAUCUACUCUCGUGCCACGACACCUUAAGUGCCCAUGGGCAGAGCAUGCUUGAAACCAGUCUUUAUCAAUUCAUAUGGCAUGCUAUUUUGGAAUUGGCCCAGACUUCUGCAGUGUCAAGUGAAGGAAGCUCCUCUCAUAAGAUUGCAAACCUGGAGUCUGAUGACACCGAGCGAGAGUGAUGGAAGCCCUUCAAGAAAGGAGCAGAAUGCUGAAGAUGAUUGGAAACCAAGUUCCUGGCUUUUCUCAAGACCUUCAAGGACCCGAUUGACCUUGGAAUCGGCUGUAAAGGAGGACGAAACCGAUGUUUAAGAAUGGGACAGCGAUAUUGCAUCAAUUUGUCUCCUACUUCAUUUGGUUCCACCAUCGCCACAAGGCUGCAAGGGACCUGGAGAAAUGUCCUCCUAUCAAGCUGAAAAACAUCUUCAAAAAGGCACUAACCAGAAGAACACCUUGAUUGCAUAGAAGAGACCACACAGCCAUACCUGCUCGCUGAUGGGACAACGAACAUCAUUCAUGGAUGCUACACAACUGUCGACAAGUAUCUUGCUGCAGUCUUGUUCAAAUCUACCUGUCAUACUUGUAAAUUUGAUGAUUUUAUAUGUUUUAUUAACUAUUUUAUUUCCGUGCAACACUUAAUGAAUGUGACUGACUAAUUAACCUCUACACAUCUGGUAUAUGCUUUAAAGUUGCCACUUUGCCCAUUUGUUAAAUAAACGUUGGAAUUUGUA